rnacentral:lncRNA from 1 species
CCAAAUUAGCUCCAGUGUGUGUUGGUUCAGUAUCAGCACAUUCACUCUUUACUGUUUUAAUUAGGGAGGGGGACUGAGAGCGCUACACCACUGUCCCCCUGUCCUACUCCCCUACUCCUACUCCCCUACUCCCCCACUCCCCGACUCCCACUCCCCUACUCCCACUCCCCCGCUACCCUACUCCCCUACUCCUACUCCCCAUUAGAUGUUCUUGUAUUUUUUUCUUGAAGGUGGAUUUACUUUUUUUAGUAGAGAGUGCCAUUCUGCUAUGGCUCUACAUAAAACUGUAGAUUUAUGGCGAUUUGUCCUUGGCUUGGGUUGUCUUAGCUGUCCUGAAUUUGCCUAUCUGGUUCAAAGCCAUCCUCCCCUCAGAAGCCUCCACUGGUGUGUGCAUGUGUUUCUCUCCAUUCUAUAUGUUCCAAACCUGGAGAAAGAGAGAAACCUAACUUCUGGGUUUGUCCUCAGAGAGUAACUGUCUUUCUGAAUAAUUAAUGUGUAGAGCAUCGUUGUUUCUGAACUCCAUAGAGCCUCCAUAGUUUCUCUAAACGCCAUGUUCUCUGAUAACACUCUGGUGUGGUGUAGGGUUAGAGAGCUGGGGGAGGUGGAGGUAGAGCCAUGUAUUGGGGGUGUAGGGUUAGAGAGCUGGGGGGAGGUGGAGGUAGAGGCAUGUAUUGGGGGUGUAGGGUUAGAGAGCUGGGGGGAGGUGGAGGUAGAGGCAUGUAU